rnacentral:rRNA from 1 species
GACGAACGCUGGCGGCGUGCUUAACACAUGCAAGUCGAACGGAAAGGCCCUGCUUUUGUGGGGUGCUCGAGUGGCGAACGGGUGAGUAACACGUGAGUAACCUGCCCUUGACUUUGGGAUAACUUCAGGAAACUGGGGCUAAUACCGGAUAGGAGCUCCUGCUGCAUGGUGGGGGUUGGAAAGUUUCGGCGGUUGGGGAUGGACUCGCGGCUUAUCAGCUUGUUGGUGGGGUAGUGGCUUACCAAGGCUUUGACGGGUAGCCGGCCUGAGAGGGUGACCGGCCACAUUGGGACUGCUAUACGGCCCAGAAGACUACGGGAGGCAGCAGUGGGGAAGAUUGUACAAUGGGCGGAAGCCUGAUGCAGCAACGCCGCGGGGGGGAUGACGGCCUUCGGGUUGUAAACCGCUUUCGCCUGUGACGAUGCGUGAGUGACGGUAAUGGGUAAAGAAGCACCGGCUAACUACGUG